AACGCCUUGUGCUGCUAGUUCUCCUGUCAAAACCACAGUCUAUGACACCACCAAGGUCAUCACAGUUGUUCUGAGUCUGCUCUGGUGCGAAGUGGAAUGCCUCAGAAAAAAAUGAGGAACUUACUUAAAAAAAUUUUGCUCUGAACUUGGAAGAACUCCACUGCAGCAAGAAAAACUGCUCUCAGCUGGAACCAAAAGCUACUUUCAGCCACAAACAGCAGUCUUCCAGCAGCCUGAACAACACAUAGCAAGGUUGAACAUAUAUUUGGGCUUGGAACUCAAAAACUCAAGGAAACCUUUAAGCAACAGUAGCUGAGAUCUGCCUCAUUGCGCUUAUGUCCCCAUAAAGUGGCAAUCUCAUGGGCUUGCUUGAGAAAGAAGACUUAAGGCAGUAUUUCUCAUCAGCUCCUAAAUUAAGCAGACAAUUACCAUGCUGCAGGAUUUAUAUCGUGGUUUUAGGAGCCUCAAAUUUGAGCUUUUCCAAACCACAUUUGUACUGUUUCUGGAAUGCAGGGUCUUGUGCUUUCUGUGUUUUCUUUCAGCUCCACUAUUGACAGCAUUGGUUUGCUGUGGCAUGGCUUCUAGUUAUAAGUACAAAGAGCUGUGACAUUUCAGAAGAAGAUGUGUAAAGUCAUACUGAAGAUUUAAAUCCUUUAACUGGAGCCAAACAUCUGUUAUCAAUUGAAGUUGUGAGCACUGAUCCAAAUUUGGAGUUAUUCUGGUGAAUUAGGUCAAUUUCUAAAGAUUUAUCAGGACAACCUCUAGGCAAUCUUUCACCUCUGGAGCUGACCUCAUGCUAUGAAGCAGAAGAUACCUGGGGCAAAAAUGCACAUCUGGCAGACUUGAAAAGGUUGAAUUUUCCCGAUGGGCUGGUGCAUUCCUGCCCAAAAUAAACUGAACUCCAUAGAGCUAACAAAUCACUGGGAGAAGGUCAGCAGUUCUUCAGAUGUGCCUAACUUUGCAGCUCACAUUUCCAGGUAAGGAGCAGUCCUUUUAUGUAAGGGAUAACUUAUAUUCACCUUGUUGCCGUGGGAGAGUUUCUGAAUGGAGACUUCUCCUGAUUUAUACCCAUCUCUCUGUCACCCACUGAUACAGGCACGUGCCAGACCUUAAAGACCCACUAGAAAGAAAAGUACAUGGUAGAGGUGUUUCAGCAGUUAGAGUGGAAGCUGGGUUUUAGCAUACAUUAUUCAAUGACACUAGAUGGCAGAGCAGCUGUUUUGAAUUAGUUAAAAUGGCAUCUUCCGAAGUGGUUUGCUGUUAUUUUAUUUUAUCACAUUAGAGUCUGAAAUGGUGUUGACAUAUGUCUAUGCUGGCUUUUGAUUUUAAUGAAUUUCUUGGCUGAAGGCUGAGGUCAAAAGUAUAAUAUGAUCAAAAUGAAUUUUUCAAUCUAGUCUAAGGGUGACAAAAGACUAAAAAAAGGGAACAGAAAGGACUAAAGGACUGUCCAGCAGCCAUUUGGCCACAUCAGCAGAAUCUCUGUUCCUUUGACAAAGGAGGAUAUAAAAAACUGGGGUCUAAGAGAAGGCGUUGACUUGGGGAACUGGAAGAUUUUGGACAAGACUCUGAAAGAAAAGUUCAGAGCGCUACAGAAAGGUGUCAGAAAUUUGGGAUUAGAAAUAAAGAGUGCUAGGUCUGGGCUUCAAGACACAGAGAUGCUUCCUUCAGCUCCCAGGGCCUGGCCAACGCCAUGUGCCUGAGCAACAGGAGCCUCCUGAGUGCAGUGGGGCCCUCGUCUCAGAGCUACUCGCAUGGAUUUCUGCGUUCCCACCAUCACCACUGCCAGCAGGCUGGUUCUCACCUCAUAGUUAUCAUCCUGCAGGAUAACUGCUCCUCGCACAAAUCUAUAUCAAGCCUAGGCACUUGUCCACCAUGACCUGUGGAAGGGUGGGCAUGCUGCAGCUGUUUUCACCCUCCAUAUCCCACAGAAGCGUGAUGUUUGCUAACGUGACCGACUGCUCACCCAACAUUGCUUAAAACUGUUCACCUGUAAACACAGAAGUUUUACAGGAGAUCUCAUGACAGGGGAUGAGAUCAGUA